CCGCUGCGGACCCCGCCCAGGCCCCGCCCGGGCCGCAGGCCGGUCUCUGGCCUUCCCUGGGCGCCCAGGACGCCGGCGCUUCUCAGAUACAUACUGAAUGGCCACCAUGACAAGGCACAGCAAUAAGGAAUAUGAGCAAACAAAUGGCUUUAUAGUACGGCGGUCCCCCCUUACCCGAGGAGGACAUGUUCCAAGUCCCCUCUGCCCCAUGGAUGCCUGAAACUGCAGACAGUACCAAACCCUAUAUAUACCGUGUUUCCUAUACAUACCUAUGAUAAAUUUAAAUUAGGCACACCCCAGCAAGAGAUUAACAACAAUCAAAACGACGACUCUAACAACAUGCUGUAAUAAAACCUGUGCGAGUGAAAUGAGGGUGACUCGAACACAAGCAUGGCUGUCACGAGAUGGCCUACGUGAUCUGUGCCCUGGGCGGGAUCGAGCAAGAUGACAUGCGAUUUCCUCGCGCUCCUCAGAAUGCCACACAACUUAAAUGUUUGUGUCUCGAAUUUUCCAUUUACUAUAUUUGGACCGCAGUUGACCGCGGGUAAGUGAAACCGCAGAUAAGGGGGUCUGCUGCACUUGUCCUCACGGGACCCUUCUACAUUCAGGAAAGGGGCGUAAGUAUUCAAGAGCCCCUCACGUCCUCCUUGCAUUAUUGCAACAGCCCCCUAAUUGCCAUCCCUCUUUUGCCCUUGUCCCUUUGCAGUCCAUUCUCGGUCAGCAGCCAGAGACAUCAUAAAGCAUGAUCCAAACACUCCUGCUAGAACCUUCCACUAGCUUUUGCUCCUACUUCGAGUAAAGAUCCGAGUUCUCACAAGAACACCCCGUGCUCUGCCCCUCCCCCGACACGCUCUGACUUUCCUACCACCUUCCUCCCCGUUCCAAGCAACCACUCCGGCCUUCUCGGUAUCCUAUGGCAGGCUUGUCACAGUCCCACCUCAGAACCUUUGCAUAUGAUGUGUCCUCUGCCGCCUUCAAGUCUCCCCAAAUUAUCAGCUCUCAGCGAGGCUCUUCCUGACCGCCGUAUUUAAAAUCGUGAACGCCCUCCUGGAGCGCGCACCGUCCCCAUCACUCUUCCUUGCUUUAUUUUUCUUGAGCACUUUCAUAUUCUGAUUACUUUUUUGACUUCAUCCUCCAGAGUAUAAGCUCCAUGGAGGCAGGGGGUUGUGACUGUUCUUGCUUCAAUGCAGCUCACCUCACAGUAGGAGACACAGAUGAUGAUGUGUUUGGAACAGAUUAAAAUUGGAUGAUAGAAUUGGGAGCACCUGGGGGGCUCCUUUAUUUGGAUGCCAGAGGGAACCUUCCGAAGAGGUGAAGUUUAAGUUGCUGGUGAAUUGAAGAAAGGAGGACGCCAAAGGAGGAUGUUGGGGAAGAGCAUUCCAGGGUGAGGGGACAGUGGACACAAAGAACCUAAGGCUCCCGAGGACUUUUAGUGUCCUCGGGAACAGGAAGGCCAGCAGCAUGGCUGGAGCAUAUGCGAUAAAGGCACGGAAUUGGAUGAGGCCACCGAGGCAAGUAGCUAGAUGGAGGUGGCCUAGAACAUAGCCCUGGGGAGCCGAGUCAAGAAAAAACAAUAAAAAUAUGAGAAGGGGCAGCCAUGGACACCCACCGAGGGCACAGAAACCAAAAGAAGUCAUAAGAACAGCCGACUGUGCCAAAUGCUCCGGAAGGUCAAGGAACAGAGAAGCACCCAACGGAUUCAACAAGGCAGAGGUCAUUUGUGACAGACCCUGAAGUGGGCUGAGAAAUGAGAGGUUGACGAAGUGGUAGAAAUAAUGACUAAAUAGUUCAAGAUGUUUUGCUGUGAAGAGGAACAGAAACUAUGAAAGCCAAGAAAGCAAUGGGACAAAGUGAAGAUUUUGAUUUUGUUUCAUUUUUAUUUUAAAGACAGACGAUACCACAGCGGUGCCUUUUAGACUUUUUUUCAGGUCAGCACAAGAGGACUGUGUUUACAUUGUGACUUCUUAUAUCCGUACUUAAAAUCAUGAAACAAAUUUCACAAAACAGUAAUCUCAUUAUGCACAAAACGUCCUCUAAUUUUUCAUUGCAAAAGUGCAGCUUAUAACCCACUAAUACGUUUGAAGACCCACCAGUGGGUUUGUGACCUGACCCGAAAAACACCUGCAGUGGUGUACAGGAGCAGCUCAUACCGCCUGCGAGAGCCAAGUACGCACAUCGCUUCCAUGUCGGCACCUUGAACUUGGCCAGGAUGGAAGUAUUUACACCAUGGAAAUACACAACUGCUACGACUUAGCCCCGCCCCAAAGCCGGAUGUUAUAAACAUUGACCAACCCACUACCGACUGUACUCAGUGAAUGAUCCAGUAGAGUCGGAAAGGGUGAUGCAGGAGUGGUUCUUGAGAUGAUUUUGCCCCAACACGGGAAUACGAAUUGAGAGUAUUGGUUCAAAACUGUAACGUAGAUGUAACAAAUUAUUUGCAGACAGUUGCCUUGGAGUUCCAAUGAUCAUUUCUGGUCGGAUCAAUCUCUUUGUCAUCUAUAUUGUUCUCUUUCCUCACCCUAGAAGCCACAUUUAUACAGCACAGUGUAGAUGCAAAUUUAGAAAUAAAAAUAUUAGGUCUUAUAAGCAAAAUGCGAACGUAUGUAUUGCCCAGAUUUUUGAAAAACUAAUAAAAUAACGUGAUUUUACUCUUACGAAUUGAAA